rnacentral:rRNA from 1 species
GAUGAACGCUGACAGAAUGCUUAACACAUCAGCAAUUGAUUGGUGGCGGACGGGUGAGUAACGCGUAAAGAACUUGCCUCACAGGUCGGGACAACAUUUGGAAACGAAUGCUAAUACCUAAUACUGUGGGAGAGCUUUGCGUCCCAUUAGCUAGUUGGCGAGGUAACGGCUCACCAAGGCGAUGAUGGGUAGCCGGCCUGAGAGGGUGAUCGGCCACAAGGUGACUGAGACCGAGCCCUUACCGCUACUGGAGGCAGCGAUGGGGAAUAAUGAACAAGGGACCAAAAGCUGGUCCGGCAAUUCGGUAUGCACGAUGAAGAUUUCAGAGUGUAAAGUGCUUACAGUUGAGAAACGGUAACAGCAGAAGAAGUGAGGGCUAAAUACGUGCCAGCAGCCACAGUAAUAC